UGUAUGUGUGGCUUGGACUGUUUUCAAGAUCAAGGUCAAGCUAUAUACGAAAAAGCUUAUAUACAACACGACUUGAAGAGAAGAGAAUGAAGAGUGAAUGAAUAAG